CCCUUAGAUGUCCUGGGCCGCACGCGCGCUACACUGAGUGUCUGAGAUACGAGUCUGCCUGGUCCGGCAAGGUCUAGGUAAUCGCUAAAAGACACAUCAUGCUUGGGAUAGAUUAUUGCAAAUAUUAAUCUUGAACGAGGAAUUCCUAGUAAGCGCAAGUCAACAGCUUGCGUUGAUUACGUCCCUGCCCUUUGUACACACCGCCCGUCGCUACUACUGAUUGGAUGUUUAAGCGAGGUUCUCGAACUGCUAGCGACUUAGCUUCGGUGAGGUCGCAGUGUGGGAAGUGAACCUAGCUAUGGUGUCUAGAGGAAGUAAAAGUCGUAACA
rnacentral:rRNA from 1 species